GGCCGGGCGUUUCUUCUUCCGCGUUGCCACCUCUCUUCUUCGGGGAGCGCCCGCUAAUUAAAGCGCUCGGCUCGGCUUUGCCCGGCGGCUCCUCCUCCUCCCUGCCUGCCUGCCUGCGUCCCUCGCUGCCUCUUCCCCCGACGCGCGAAGAAGGGGACGCGGGCGCAGCUCCAGGUGGCUUCCGAGACGCCGCGGCGAAGUGGGAGCGGAGAGCGAGAGAGACGUCGAGUGCUGAGGUAAACAGAUUCAAAGCCAAUUAUCCCGAGCAGCCUCCCGGCCUCCCCGCUUUGGGGGAAGGAAACGCCGCCAAUGACAAGCUCGCGCGCUGGCAGGGACUGGCGGGCCGGGGCACGUGAAUUUACAGGGAUGGAAAAGCCCGCCCGUCUCGCAGAGUUCACUUGGGCUAACUAGGGAGAGCGUCAGCGCAGGACUUUGGGGCCACAAGUCCGCAGCAGUGCCGGAUUUACAUAUAAGCUAAACACGCUAUAGCUUAGGGCCCCACUCUCUUGGGGGCCCCCAAAAAAAAUUAAAGCAAAAAACAACAACUGGAUGUACAUGUCCAAAAUAUAAGAUAAAAAAACAAAUAAAAGAAAACCUACAUACAGCAACAGUGUUUUGUGUUGUGUAGGCUCCUAUUUGUUAUGUGCAAAAUGGCUUUAGAUACCUAUUAGGUCCAUAAAUUACUACAUAGCAUAUAUUCAACACGAAAAACAGCGACAAUUUGCUGUUGACAAAGGACAGCUGGACAUAUAAAGGGCCCCAUUACCUUCGGGAGCUUAGGGCCUCAUCAAACCUAAAUCCGGCCCUGGUCCGCAGCCUCACUCCUGAGGGACCCAAAACGUUGUAGGUCACGUUCUGAAGUGACUUGAAGGAACACAUCCUUAACAUCUGAAAAAGCCCAAUUGCGUCCAGAGUUUAAAAGUACCUAACUGCGCCACUGCCGGUACUUCUGCAGAGGAUUGGUAUACCUUGCUUGGUAUGUGUGGUGCUGGGGUUGGCAUCAUAGAAUGUCAGAGCUGGAAGGGACCGCAAGGGUCAUCCAGCCCAACCCUCUUGCAAUGCAAGGAUCUUUUUGCCCAACCCCCACGACCCUGAGAUUAAACGUCUCAUGCUUUGCUGGCUGAGGCAGUCGCGCAGUGCCCUUGGCUUUGCACAGGGGUGGUACUGGAGGGAUAACCUGAGUUCAAAUCCCAGCACUGUUGUAAAAUCUGCUGGUGACCUUGAACCCGUCACUCUCUGACUCUCUCCCAGAGUUGUGAGGAUGAAGGAGGUGGAGUGGGGACCUUGAAAACUAUUUUGACCUCUUUGGAGGAAAUCCUACAUUGGACCUGCCUUAGCUGCAUCCGAAAUGUGAGCGAGCAGUGGAAGGCUGUCCGCUGAGGUCAGAGAUUGUGUAUAGAGAAAUCCAGAGAGCAGCGUAAAGAGCAGCUAGAAGCAACGCCCUUUUAUUUAUUAUUAGGGGCUCCUUGCAAAGAUAGCAGGAAGGUGAAUAUUGGAUGAGUGAAGACAUAAAAUGCAAACUAAGGGCCAGUUCACAUAGAUAUGGUUAUUCUUCAUUACUGCAGCAUCAAAUGAAGACUUGUUCAUGUGAAUGAGCCACAUAGAAUUUUCACAUCAGUUGCUCUGCAUUUUUAUGGAGUUGGUUCUCACUUUCAGCUGCAAAUCAUCCUGGUGAGUAAUCAAAGGAUGUUCAUGAAUGCUUGAACCACUGACUCAAUGACUGCAGUUCUUUUUGGCUGGGUUGGGAUGUGGAGGCAUUUCCAGGUGAAGGCUUUUGCUGACACCCAGCCGGCUGGAUGUGGGUGUCCAAGCACAUACCGUAAAUCAACCCCAGUGCUACUGACUUCCUUGUCCCAAUGCUACAAUUAGCAGGGUCCGUGUUUGUGGCAAAGUCCAGACAAGAUUUUUUUGUAUCUUUUCUCUAGGCCCUGUUUCCCCACUUCAGAUUUUGCACUCAAGUCUGCAGCCAGCACUGCACUCCUAUUAUUAAGAGUGCUUCCUUCACUUCAUUUUAGUUUUGUAUCCUUCUACUGAAUAUACAGAGGUAAUGCAGAAAUGAGGUAAAAUUCACCAAAGAUGCCAGUUUAGUAAUAAAGAGGGCAAUCUAUCCCUAUGAUCUGCCUCCUUCCUGAAUCAAAGAUGUUGGAUCUUCUCUUUAUACUUUGGACUUUAAGGAGGCUGGUUUCAAAAAGCUUAAGGAGUUAGUGGAUGAGAUCCUAUACUCAGAAAUACUCAAAAGAGAAGGGAGUCCAAGAUGGAUGGGAGUUUCUUAAAGGUGAAUUAUUGAAGGCUCAAAUGCAGACAAUUCCAACAAGAAACAGAAGUGGAAGGCAUCUAAAUAAAGUGGUGUGGUUGCUUAAGGAGCUUGCAUAUGAGCUCAGAUGUAAGAGGGGCAUGUAGAAGAAAUGGGAGAAAGGGAAAAUCACGAAGGAAGAGUAUACACAAGUAGCCAACAGUUUCAGGAAGGUCAGGUGGGCCACUCAGAAUGAGUUCAGGCUUGCAAGAGAGGUUAAAAAUAAAGUUAAAAGGAUUCUUUGGCUAUGUUCAAAAGCAAGAACAAGUGGUCCUCUGCAUGGAGAAGAUGGAGAAAUGCUGUUGGGGGACAAAGGGAACUGCUCAACACCUACUUUGCCUCUGUUUUUACCCAAAAGGAAAGCAGUGACCAACCUGGUGAUAACAGAAUAAUGCAAAGAGGGAGCUGCAGCCAAAGUCAGGAAAAGAGGUGGUAAGUGAACACCUAGCUACUUCAAAUGAAUUCAGAUCUCCAGGGCCUGAUGAGCUGUAUCCAAGGGUACUAAAGGAGCUUGCAGAUGUAAUCUCAAAGCCUCUGUCUAUAUUCUUUGAGAAUUCUUGGAGAACAGGUGAGGUCCCUGCAGACAGGAGGUGGGCAAAAAGGGGGGGGGGACCCGCUACCGGCAGGUCAGUACCAUUCUAUGAUUCUAUGAAUUUGUGCAAAUGUACCUGUUCACUCCUAUGUCUCCUGCCCAACCCCAAAAGAAGAAGGAAGCAGCUGGGGGGGGAUCAUGCAGUAGCUGGACUGACAGUUCAUAAAUAAUCUGGUUUAGCUUCUAUUGAAGGGAAAUUAGUGAAAGGGUGAAAAUGAUAAAUGUACGCACAAGUACACAAACACAUCUGAGCAGAUCCCUAAAUUGAAAUCGCAUGCAUGCUCACACACAGUGAUGAUUACAAUCCCUUCCUUGGUAUCUGCAAAAAUCCAUCCUCUUUGCUAAUUUUUUUUUAAAAAACAGAUACUAUUCACUUCACUUAGUUUAAGUGCCCGUAACACAAAUGCAAAGCAUACAAUGGCUAGAAUGUACAUUCAUUUUUAAAAUGGUUCUCUCCCCCCGUAUUCCACAUUAAUAACAUUCACAAAUGACAUAUUCCAGACUGGAAGCCAUUUUUAGCAUCAGUUGUGAGAACACCCUAAGCCUAUUGGGCAGGCAUGCAGAUGGAAGGGCCUCCCUGGGGGCUGUCAGAAAAGAAAUUAUAUUGUGACAGAGGGAAUCCAUGUUGCUUAUCACUGUACAAAAUUCAGCAGAGCACUGUGCAGGGAGAAACAAUCUUUACACAUAUUUGCUCAAGUCUUUGGGGGCUUGUUUUGCAAACUGUGCAGACCACCUUCCCUGCCAUCCCAAUCCUGCAUAAGCUGAAUGAAUGUGCUUGUGGCAAACUGGUCAUGUGCAUUGGCCUGGCACAAGCACAAAUCGCUGGCGUGCUCACAAUGAGCUAUGUGGAUUUUUUCCCACAGCUUAUCGAUGGCAUGCUGUCAGUUUGUGCUUAUGGAGGUCUGAUGCACAUGACCAGUUUGCCAUGCGCAUGUUCCAUUCGUGCUAGGAGAAAACAGUGGCUGCACAGAUUGAAUUAAGCCAUAACCAUGGCCAUAUAAAUUGCCCUUUAGUUUAACAAGCACUGAGUCACAGCAGAAUCAAAGCAUUGUGAGGCUGCAAGUGAUCCCAGGUCAUCUGUCCAAUCCACUACAUGGAGGUGAGAUAUACUGCUGUCUGUCACAUUGACUUAAUAUAUCCCUGACCAUUGCUGUCCCUGCUCAGCCUCCAGUGAAGGACAAACUGUGCCAGCGUGGAUAGUGUUAAACUUUGAACAGGAAGAUCAGAGUUCAGAUCCCGAUUCUGCCAUUAAGUUUGCUGAGUAGUCAUAGUAGUCUGCAUGUCAUGCUUGAUUACAGGCAGGAGUUCACCAGGACCUCCCCCCACCCACUCACCCCCAUUCUUGCAGCUACAUCCGAGCAAUGGGAAUUUGUGUGUGCAUUGCAACAGGCAGGCCCUGACAGAGCAUAUUGUCAAAAUUUGAUUAAGGAAGAGCUCUUUCACAUAAUGCAUAGUUAAAUCAUGGAAUUUGCCACCACGAGUUAUACUGAUGGCAUCUAUCACUACAUCUUUUGGUAAUGAAUUUCAUAGUUUAAAAGGGAAUUACACACAUUCACAGAGGAUAAGGUUGUCAACGGCUGCUAGUCACAAAGGCUAGAUAUAUAUUGCCUCCAGUAUCAGCAGCAAUAUGCUUCUGAAUGCUAGUUCCUGUGAAGAAAUCAGAGGCAAGUUCUUCCAUUUUCAGCUAACCACAUUGGGUGGAAUUCAGGGUCAUGCUCAGUGGGAUAUGGGUGCACAGAAUGAAGUCCAUUCACAAAGUGAGAUUUGCUCCCCCUGUGUACCUCCUAAAUCUGUUCUUGGUGUUUCCCCAACCCCACCUCCCCAGAACAGAUUUAGGGGGUGAGGGAGGGGAGGAAGGGAAGCGCCAUUGCAUGACUAGACUUCAAUCUGUGCACACAGUAAUUGUCAUGGACUGGUUGGACACAGAGGAAUGGUGAGAGGAGCCAGCUGGGGAACACCCAAGGGAAGAAGGUUCAGAGCCCUGUGAGUGGUGGUGGGACAGCGAUAAAUGGUCAGAAGGAGAAAAGGGAGAAGACUGGGAAGAGGAGGGUUCAGAAGCUGAAGAGAUAGCAGGGCUUGGGAGAGUGAGUUGGGAGAGUCGGUGGCAGAGAUAAGUCCAGAAUCAGAGGCAGAUGCUGAAGCAAGAGAGUGGAAGGAGGGAGGCCAAGAGGCAAGAGGAAGAGAUGAGUCAGGCUAGUAUCACAGAUGUCUCCCCCUCCUGCUGUAAGAAGCUCCCUUCCCCCCUGUCUCCCAGAACAAGAAGAGGGCUGAAAAGAGCAGAACAAUGAUAGGCUGCAUGAAGGCGUGGUCUCUGACUGCUUGGGAAAAGCCCUGGAGAGGAGGAGACACAAGCUGUGGGAAGGCAGGGACUUUCAGCAUCGGCAACUGAUUUCAUGGAGUAAGACCCACAGGGAAUGAGCUGUUGUGUUCAUUAGGUGUGAUGCUCAGCCAAGUCUGCCAAGAUCAUGGUUUUGCUAAUAAAGAGUUAACUCC